CGCAUCUGUGCAUGCAGCAUAUCAAUAAGCGGAGGAAAAGAAACUAACAAGGAUUCCCUUAGUAACGGCGAGUGAAGCGGGAAGAGCUCAAAUUUGAAAUCUUCAAGGUUUUACCUUGACGAAUUGUAGUUUAAAGAAGUGUUUUCUGUUGAAGUUUUGGUAAAAGUUCUUUGGAAUAGGACAUCAUAGAGGGUGAGAAUCCCGUAUUUGACCAUUAUUUUCAGCUGUGUGAUACACUUUCAAGGAGUCGGAUUGUUUGGGAAUGCAGUCCAAAAUGGGUGGUAAAUUUCAUCUAAAGCUAAAUAUUGGCGAGAGACCGAUAGCGAACAAGUACCGUGAGGGAAAGAUGAAAAGAACUUUGAAAAGAGAGUUAAACAGUACGUGAAAUUGUCAAAAGGGAAGCGUUUGACACCAGUGUUGUUUUCUCGAAAAUCAAUUAAAAAGAGUUUGAUUUUGUUGUGUAUUGACCUUAACAGCUUGCAUUUCAAUUUUCUUGCUUUUUUUAAUGCACUUUUCGUUUAACAAGUCAACAUCAGUUUCUUUUGUUGUAAAAAGGUCAUUGGAAGGUGGCUUUCUUUUCGGAGAAAGUGUUUAUAGCCUUUGACUCCUGCAAUCGGAGAGACUGAGGUCUGCAGCGUAGAUCCUUCGGGGUUAGAUACAUUUGUGCUAAGUUAUAGCUUUUUAUAGACAACUUGUUGACUAUGAUUAGUCUUGUAGCUUACUCGCUUAUGCUAUUUUACCUACGCUUAGGAUGUUGAUGUGAUACUGCGAGCA
rnacentral:rRNA from 1 species